AGAAUGAACGCUGGCGGCAUGCCUAACACAUGCAAGUCGAACGAAGGCUUCGGCCUUAGUGGCGCACGGGUGCGUAACGCGUGGGAAUCUACCCUUAGGUUCGGAAUAACAGUUGGAAACGACUGCUAAUACCGGAUGAUGACGUAAGUCCAAAGAUUUAUCGCCUAGGGAUGAGCCCGCGUAGGAUUAGCUAGUUGGUGUGGUAAAGGCGCACCAAGGCGACGAUCCUUAGCUGGUCUGAGAGGAUGAUCAGCCACACUGGGACUGAGACACGGCCCAGACUCCUACGGGAGGCAGCAGUGGGGAAUAUUGGACAAUGGGCGAAAGCCUGAUCCAGCAAUGCCGCGUGAGUGAUGAAGGCCUUAGGGUUGUAAAGCUCUUUACCCGGGAUGAUAAUGACAGUACCGGAGAAUAAGCUCCGGCUAACUCCGCGCCAGCAGCCGC
rnacentral:rRNA from 1 species